CGACCAUCCUUCCGCGUCCCCAGACGUCCAGCUUGGCUCUCGCCAGCAUGUGUGACUUUUCAGCAACGAAGCCCCCUGCCAGCCGGCUUCCUGCUACAAUAACAGUAAGGCACUUUCCCCAGAAAUUUCACGACUUUUAAGGCGUUCAACAUUGGCGGUUCUGCUGUACCCCACCAUGACAGAAGGCUACAGCAUGCGCAAGAGAAGUGUGACCUGUGGGAUAUUCCUGUAUCGACACAAAGUCAGCAUGAAGAAGUGAAUGUGAGAGCGUUGCUGACCAUGUUGUGUUUUCUUCCGGUGUCAUCGAGGCCACCGUGCUGCAGUACAAGGCGGGGGUGGGGGGGGGCUCGAGGGCUCAAGCGCAGGGCCCUCCGGGACCCUCGGACACCCUCGCUUGUGAGAGUCAAGCGCAGUGUCAGCACGGCGGCCGACAUGAAUCACACGGCUGCCUCCGACAGCGUUAUCUUGUCUCGGUGCGGGCGCGAGAAUAUAUAACCCAUCAACUGCGCAACAACCUUUUGCGCCUCCACUGACUAGACAUUUUACAUCAAAUUGUUUUGAUGAAACAUGGAACAUGGCCGCGUACGACUCGAACUGGGUCGACACCAAAUUGGAUCGACGGACGCCUGCUCCCCUCGCGGUCGAGACAGGCGCUUGAUGAAAGAUAGCCUCCUCUGGCAUUAAUCAAAGAGAUGAAGCCAUUUGAUCCCACUCUCAAUUAGAUUAGAUUAUAUAAAUUGAAGAAUUUGUUCAAAAUGUGAUAUCAAUUCUCAACAGGUCAUUCGUUUUGAUCUCUUCCUCGCUGCUUGUCGGAUUGAAUAUGAAUGUCUAUGACAGGA